GUGUAGAACAACUUGUCAGAUGGUGCAUUGGAGACUGAUGUGUUCCUCUCCUGUCUUUUCACAAUACUAUUGCAGGUAUGGUUCUAUUGUCUAAGAAUUAAGAUUAUACAUUCUUUGUAUUAAGGACUGGUUAUUAUUUUAUAGUAUACAUUAUGGCUUUAUAUAUGAAUGUGAUUGUGUGAGUCUGAGAAAACACUGAGAGAGAAAGAACAACUUGUCAGAUGGUGCAUUGGAGACCGAUGUGUUCCUGUCCUGUCUUUUCACAAUACUAUUGCAGAUCAACAUAAAAGCCUAAAAGAGAGCCGUGGUGUCGCUCUUCAUUUCCCUGGUUCUCCUGUGGAACCAAGACCCUUUCGCAGAUGUGGCAAAGGGGUCCCAACUGUUUCAACAGAGAUGUCGGGAGACAGUUUGUUGUGGAAUCAAUGUCACAGGAAGUGAUACGGUCCAGAGGCAUGGUGAAUCAUUGCUUAUGACUAAAAUGUUUGACGGGAGCACAUGGCAAAUGGACUUUGUGAUGUAAGUCUGAGGAAAGACGGACAACUGCCUGCUGGCUUGCAUCGCUGUGCCCCAUAGUGUUUUGGUUUGGUUUUAUAUGUUUGUCAGAUUUUAAUUAGCAUUGUUUUUAAGUUAAAAGUAAAGAGAAAAUAGAAUACGCAAAUGAAGCUUUCUAACUGAAUUGUGAAAACAAACUGAGAAUGCAUUGAAACUUGAUUACUGAA